rnacentral:rRNA from 1 species
UACGGAGGGUGCAAGCGUUGUCCGGAUUUAUUGGGUUUAAAGGGUGCGUAGGCGGCCCGAUAAGUCAGUGGUGAAAGCCUCCAGCUCAACUGGAGAACUGCCAUUGAUACUGUCGGGCUUGGGUACAGACGAGGUUGGCGGAAUUGAUUGUGUAGCGGUGAAAUGCAUAGAUACAAUCAAGAACUCCGAUUGCGUAGGCAGCUAACUAGGCUGUAACUGACGCUGAGGCACGAAAGCGUGGGGAGCGAACAGG